GUAGGGAAUAUUGGACAAUGGGGGGAACCCUGAUCCAGCCAUGCCGCGUGGAGGAAGACUGCCCUCUGGGUUGUAAACUCCUUUUAUAUGGGAAGAACCGUCCUCAUUAAUGAGUGACCUGACGGUACCAUAGGAAUAAGCACCGGCUAACUCCGUGCCAGCAGCCGCGGUAAUACGGUGGGUGCAAGCGUUAUCCGGAUUCACUGGGUUUAAAGGGUGCGUAGGCGGAUAAAUAAGUCAGUGGUGAAAUCAACGGGCUCAACCUGUUAACUGCCAUUGAUACUGUGUAUCUUGAAUGUGAGAGAGGUAGGCGGAAUGUUGCAUGUAGCGGUGAAAUGCUUAGAUAUGAUACGGAACACCGAUUGCGAAGGCAGCUUACUAUUUCGUAAUUGACGCUGAGGCACGAAAGCGUGGGUAGCGAACAGGAUUAGAUACCCCAGUAGUCC
rnacentral:rRNA from 1 species